UUUCCUUUCUCUUUGUUGCACUGCUGCAAUAAAGAUCUUUUGGUUGCUCCGAGUGUUGUGGUCACUUUCCUUUCAGGGGCCAGUUAUUUUUGUCUACCACAGAGCCUUUGGAGUGGGGGAGAGAAAGAAAGAGAGAAAUUUGUAUAGCUCCAGACUCUCUCUGUAUUUAAAGUAAAAGUUUGGCCUCAUUCACUUUCUUUCUUUGAUCAGAUUCCUUAUCUGUAAACUGAAAACAUUUAUUCAAUAAACAUGUUAUCAUCCAUGCAUUAUCUAAGCUUUGGAGAUACAGAACAAGAUGAGGAAACUGGGGUCCUGAACCCUUAGAGAGCAUAUACAAGGUCACAUACAUUGUAACUGUAAACUGAGAUCUUGAAGAGUACGGAUAGUAUUUUAUCCAGCUUUGUGUGCAUGAGAGACUUCUAGUAAGUGUUCGCUAGGCAUUAAACUGCUGGAAGGCAUGACCUUCAUCAUCUUGGACUUAGCAGAGCAUUUGACACAUCAAAGUGACCUGUCAGCACAUCUGUCAGUGACCUCGUGGGCCCAGACAGAGAGAGCAAAACAGGCUGAGAAGUAAAGGCCAUUCCAAGGUCACCUUGCUGGUUAUGGCAAAGUAAGGACUGGGAACCAGGUCCAGUGUUCUUUUUAGUGCAACCACUACCUCCUGGAAAACUGUCCUUUCUCUCUUGCUUCUUACCGCCUCAGCCCUCGAAAGGGAAGUUCACCCUUUUCCAUGCACAACUGAUAAGGACAGAGCCUUAUAAAGAGAUGCCGGCCACCAAGAACUUGACGGUAAAUGAGGAGAUGAUGCAAGCACAAGGUCUGGAUCCAGCAAUGAAUCAUAUCUUCAGUGUUUACAUAAAUUGUGUUUUGAAUAAUUUCCAUAGAAAUUAUUUUACCCACCACAGGAAUGCUAUUCCCUCCCACAGGGAUUUAACCAAACAGAAAGGGAAACAGAACAGAGGAAGAAUAGUAAUUUAGAUUUAUAUAUAAAACAUUAGUGGGAAUCUAAGUAAUAACCCCCAAGUAAUCAGAAUAUUUUAUGCACUCUGAUUUUUAGUGGAAAGAGCAAACCACAAGAAAGUAAGCAUAUAUCAGAGAAUUUUUAAAUGCUUCCAGGGUUUAUCUUAGGCUCAAAAAAACCUUUUUUCCCCCAAUUCCCUGUACUAUCUUUAAUAUAUCCCUCUGCACAUC